rnacentral:rRNA from 1 species
UAAAUUGCCGUGGUAUUUUGACCAUGCUAAGGUAGCAUAAUCGUUUGGUUUUUAAUUAGAAUCUGGUAUGAAAGGUUGAACGAAAGCUUUUCUUUAUUUAUUUACAUUGAUAUAAUUUAUUUUUUAGGUGAAGAAACCUAAAUGAUAAAAAAGGACAAGAAGACCCUAUCGAGCUUAAUUUUUUGAGAUUAUAGAGUUUUUAAAAAGAAAUUUUGUUGGGGCAACGGAAGAAAAAAAAAAUAACUUCUUUAUUUAAAAAGAAAAUGAUUAAAAUUUGGUAAAGAAAAUUUUUAUUGUUUGAAAAGUUACCGUAGGGAUAACAGCAUUAUUUUUUUUUAGAGAUCCUAUCGAAAAAAAAGUUUGUGACCUCGAUGUUGGAUUAAGGUAUCCUUUAGGAGUAGAAACUUAAAAAGGU